rnacentral:rRNA from 1 species
UACAGAGGUCUCAAGCGUUUGUUCGGGAUUCAUUGGGGCGUAAAGGGUGCGUAGGGCGGCGCGGUAAGUCGGGGUGUGAAAUUCUCGGAGCUUAAACUCCGAAACUGCAUUCGAUACUGCCGUGCUUGAGGACUGGAGAGGAGACUGGAAUUUACGGUGUAGCGGUGAAAUGCGUAGAUAUCGGGAGGAACACCAGUGGCGAAGGCGGACGACCUGGUCCAAUACUGACGCUGAGGUGCGAAAGCGUGGG